AGCGAACGCUGGCGGCAGGCCUAACACAUGCAAGUCGAACGAACCUUUCGGGGUUAGUGGCGGACGGGUGAGUAACACGUGGGAACGUGCCCUUAGGUUCGGAAUAACUCAGGGAAACUUGUGCUAAUACCGAAUGUGCCCUUCGGGGGAAAGAUUUAUCGCCUUUAGAGCGGCCCGCGUCUGAUUAGCUAGUUGGUUGAGGUAAUGGCUCACCAAGGCGACGAUCAGUAGCUGGUCUGAGAGGAUGAUCAGCCACAUUGGGACUGAGACACGGCCCAAACUCCUACGGGAGGCAGCAGUGGGGAAUCUUGCACAAUGGGCGAAAGCCUGACGCAGCCAUGCCGCGUGAAUGAUGAAGGUCUUAGGAUUGUAAAGUUCUUUCACCGGGGACGAUAAUGACGGUACCCGGAGAAGAAGCCCCGGCUAACUUCGUG
rnacentral:rRNA from 1 species